UUUAAGUUUCAGUUUCAUAUUGUAUAACUUGCUUGAUUCUGAUUCCUUGUUAAAGUUUACAAUGUGACGUGUGUCUGAUGUGCGAUGUACAGUUUAUCUGUUUAUUCUUUACACUGAGGAACGAGGAUGUUGUGCGCCAAAACUGGGCUUUGUUCAACGACAGCAAUUAGACAGUAUAAUAUUACUGCAUUGGACUUUUAUAAUAUUCCGGCACAAAGAUCAAAGCUCAACAUAGCCAUGGCUUCUCCCUAUGGAAUUACGUCGUUUUGAAUACCAGGUAGACGAUGCUCGCGACUUUCAGUCCAAUUUAUUUGCACCAGAGGAGGAUGUAAAAUCAGGAUUGUCGACAGCUGGUAUCAGUCUCAGACCGGGGGCCGUAAAUGCACGGACGACGAGGGAUUCCCAACUUCACGAUUUUUAGCCUCUGGCUAAAGUGCCAAUGGAAAAGUUGCACUCGGAGUGGUUCGCUUUGUUUUUUCAUCCAGGACAUCCUGGAAAAUUUGAAAAACGUUUUUAACCCACCGCCGCUCGCAUGAGUACAUAUGUACUAUGGGAUAUGAUAUCACACGUAAGAGUCCUGAGGCACGAUGAUGCAUGCAAGUAUGUUAAUGCACGAAACCUCCGUCCAUUUUGGAUAGCUAUGAAUAUUCAAGAACAUUCACGAAGAUAGACAAGAUUUUCACAAAGGUCCUGUAAUCCUCUGGUACAACGACUUUGUCAAUAUGUCUGAUAUUCGAUAUCGUCGAUGCUCAGAUUCCUCUUAGAUUUGGCAAAAAUGAUGUAAAUUUCUGAGUACAUCCUGGACUCCCAAAGGACUUUGCCAAUUAAAGCAUAAAGGAAGAAUCCAAUUACCGGUUAUGUCCUACAGGUUCAUUACCUCGUCGUCUCGUUGAGCCCCGUGCCCUUUCAACUCUCUGAUGCGGCCCUGGGCCACCCUCACCCGAGUACCGGCAACGCGGUUUCUCCCUGUUAUCCAGCUCCACUACCAGAGAAGAAAGAAGGAAACGAAGGGAAGCUGGGAAAGGAGGAGCGACGUAGGAGAGGGGAAAAAAUGAGGAUGAAAAAAAAAUCGGAAGGGAGAUCCAAGAGUAAGACUGGAUAACCAGCUUUGAAGACUAUCGGAAGUGUAGCAGUGGUACGCCCUGACGCCUUGGGGCAUUUGCGAAAAGAAAAAAAUAGGAGAAAAAGAUUGGUAUGGGGUGCAUGAGGUUUUCAUCCAUCUGGCGUCACAAGGGAAUUAAAGUGUACUCGUGGUCCAGCGAUUGGCCCGUCAACGGAGUCAAGGUUGUGCGCUGGAUGCGGGCUAUUCGAAAAAUGCGGCUUUCGUGCUGGGAAGACAUUUGCCGGCACUCGCGUCGCCAAACGAGAGAUAAGUCGACAUUCGACGUGGAACGUACGAGGCCCAUUACUUUCAAUUUAUGCUCCCUUCGAUUCUUAAAUCCGCAAACUUUCGGAGACCGCCCGUCGGCGGAUUCGCGUCGACCAAGUCCGCCAUUUAUUUAACGGCGCGCCGAAGAUCUCGAGAACGAGCUGGCUUUUCAGCCAAGGCGCACACACGGUAUUAGUUGAAGCUGAAAUACCAAACUUUCCAGACGAUGAAUUUCUUGUACGAGGGUGCUGGAAAGUUUAAUAAUCCAAUGCAGGAUGAAAUUUGGAAAAGCCGAAGAAAGCGUAGAAUGAAGAUGAAGGCGGUAUAAAGAGAAGUAACGGUCGAAGAACGUGUAGCAGCCUCUCUUGUACCUAAUACGAUCCAUUCCAACCUGGUGGGAUCGAAGUGAAUUUUGAAAAUAAGGAGGAGGACAAGGACGAGGCAUAGCGAGAGGGGAGGAGAAGAAAAAGAACAACAGGAUGCAAGAAGAAAAGGAAGAGAAGAAACCUGAAAGGCCGUUGAAUCUGUGAAAAAGGAUUUGUUUUUCCAAGCUGUAUCCAAGCAGCUACGAAAUACGCUUGAGAAAUCGCCCUGUGAAUUUCACUGUGAAUCCAUCGAUAUUCCAUUCGCCAUCAGGGGUGCGUUACUCUCCCCUCGAGUUCUCUUCUGUACUUCAAAGAAUCGUGAAAUCGUUCGGAUUUCAAGUAGGCAACGAGAGAUUAGGUUUGCACGCCGAGGUUCACGGCCGCGAGACCAGAACACGUUAGGCCCGACUGGCAAUUUGCAUUUUAUUAUGGCCGAAGCCUUUCGGUUUCGACGGCGGCCCUAAGUAUCUGCCAAGAAUGCAUUAUAACUACGUGCAUUCUCUUCCUUCUCGAAGGGUUAUUCGAAAAAACGCCCCCGAGAAACAUCGGCACGACAGAAUUUCAAGUGCGGAUUGGAGCAUGUGCUCCCUGCUUUUUUACGAAUGUAAUGCGCAAUGCUAUCUGCAUUGGGAAACUAGUUUGUAUAAAGCGUCCACUGUAUUUACUAUGCGUUGUAUGCACUUGUUGCAUCUGUAAUUACUGAACGAUACAUUUUAUACGUUUAGCAUAGAUUCCUUAAAUAGUAUGUCUACGUAAAAGACACCGAUCUGUUUGAAACGUAUCUUCGAUGGUCUCUUCUUUUUAAAAAAUUUUUUUCUCUUGGGGUUAAAGAAAUUCUGAGUUCGCAGAAUUCUAGAGCGGUACGUCGGGGAUAAAUUUUCAAUAAAAGCAGGGCAACUUGUGCUAGGAAUUGAAAGUGGAAGACAUGUAACCCUGAAGUCUUUGUAGGCGUAAUUCUAUCGCAAACUGAUAAAUACACGCACAGACAGAAAAUAUUUUGAAAGGCGGAUUCGCCACGCGCUUGAGUCAACAAGUUUCUCCUCCGUUAGCGACUGAGUACACGAGAGAGCGAUAGAUUAAGAUUUUCAAUGGAUCGAGUGACGAGAGACCGAAAUGUUUUUGGAAAAAAUCACUAGCAAUAUCCUAAUUUCAUGGGAGGAAGGUCGCAGCACCUGACGGCCCUAGGCUUUUCGAAUUGCCUUGAAAGGAUCUUGAAAAGAUCGCAAGGAUUUGCGGUCCUUCAAAUCAAUAGGGAUAAGAAUCGCAUGAAGGCCGAUCCUUCCUCAAUAGAUAGACAUACAAUGGUAUAGCUCUUCUAUCGAUGGGAUUACCUAAUGCACUGAAAGGCUGUAUUCUGGGCCUUAUAAAAGAAGGGCCUUACAUUUCAUAAUAGAAAGCUGAAGGACAUAUCUGUAACCCAUGAAAAUGUACACGAGAUUCGUGACAUCGGAUGACAAGAUAAAUUAUCUUAUCUAUUUUAUAGAUUAAUAAAAGUACAAGCAAUGUAAUUAUAGACUUACAUGUAAUCGGAGCAUGUUAUUUAAAUAGCAUGUAUGCACGUCAUUACAUGGCAAUGAGUACGUCACUCUUAUCUCAUGACUCGUAUGCGAAUUCGCAAGGUGUUUCCAGCAGGCAGAUCGUGGAGAAGUUAGGUCAUCGGUUCCGAUAAUUAGGUAAUUAGGGUAAGAUGGCCCUCGUGGCUAUCUUGAUGCAGAGAGUAGAUAGUACGUGCAGGUAGAUAUGUACUUUGGUAGUUAGUAUAUGUUCAUCUAACCACCAAUAGAUAAACACAUACGCAGCUUGUGCAGUGCUCUGGGCUCUCUCUCCUAUAUACGUAAGCAAUUUCACUAGUAAUUUCCACCUUACAUCGGCGAAACUUCAGCGAUAAUGCCGCGGUAGUUAAAUUGCAUUAAACAAGCGAGUUACAGUGUUACAGGAGUUCGACCGCAGGCCGCGACUAUGGCGCCAGCGUUGCCUACCAUAAUGAGAAUGAUUACUUUAUUCCUAUUAAGCUUAUCAUUACUACUCGUUCCUAUGUCAGACACUGAUAGUUUAAUUCAUUAACUUAAUAUAAUAAUAUUGUUUGAUCUCAUGGAAACAUAGAAAUUGUAAUUGAGUUGUUAAUGUAAACUGACUGUUAUUCAAAUUUUCAUAAUCACGCGUGGUUUGUUUAGAAACAAAUAUUUUAUGUUACAAAGUGCAAGAUAUAAAACUUGUUACUUGUUUCUGUGUUUGCGAUAUUUUAAUGAAACACUAUUAGAUGCGAAGUAAUGUGUAGAUUAUUUUGUAUAUAAGAACCGCCAAACAGCGUAUCACUAUUUCAUUAAACGUCCGGGCUACGUGACAGUGAAAUGACUGCUCUACUUUCCAAUGUUAUUUUUACUAGACGCUAAACUAUUUUUAUUUAAAUUUUAUCCUUAUUUGUACUUCUUUAUUCUCUGGUGUCAACUGUGACAAACGAUUAUUCAAGUUCGUUGCAUUUGUCUCUAAUGUUUUAUUGUAUUUUGUUUAUGUAAUGGGAUUACUUUAAUUGUAGGUAUAUCAAAGAUUUUUCUGUGCUCUUGCAUUCGGGAACUACAUCAGGUUAUUGUACUCUGCUUAUAAUAUUCUAAUCUUUCUGGGAAGUAUUAUUUUCUCUUAACUAUGAAUAACGUAUAAGGUCCUGAUAUUAUGGCUGUGUGAGAAUUUACGAUAGUUUUUAAUUUUUUUAAUUAAA